rnacentral:rRNA from 1 species
GAUGAACGCUAGCAGGAGGCUUAACACAUGCAAGUCGAGGGGUAUUGUAGCAAUACAUUAGACCGGCGCACGGGUGAGUAACGCGUAUGCAACCUGCCGUUAACCGGGGGAUAGCCCGUCGAAAGGCGGAUUAAUACCCCAUAAUAUUGGGAUUCUGCAUGGGAUUUCAAUUAAAGCUGAGGUGGUUAACGAUGGGCAUGCGUGACAUUAGCUAGUUGGUAGGGUAACGGCCUACCAAGGCUACGAUGUCUAGGGGUUCUGAGAGGAAGGUCCCCCACACUGGUACUGAGACACGGACCAGACUCCUACGGGAGGCAGCAGUGGGGAAUAUUGGUCAAUGGGCGAGAGCCUGAACCAGCCAUCCCGCGUGCAGGAAGACGGCCCUAUGGGUUGUAAACUGCUUUUGCGCAUGAAGAAUGUUACCGACGUGUCGGUAAGUGACGGUAAUGCGUGAAUAAGCAUCGGCUAACUCCGUGCCAGCAGCCGCAGUAAUAC